GCCUUGACUUCUCCAUUAAGUUUGAACGUAGUUGCCGUUGGUUUCUGUAUUCCUUACCCCGACACAAAACCCGGGCCACGCCCACAACGCCAUGGAGGACCGCCGACUGAGGAUGCGGGCCUAUAGGAAGGCCCGCCGGAAGUUCGCUUGUGUCGUUUAUAUGGUGACCAUAGCCUGGAUGGUUCUGGCCUUAUUGCAGUGGCUCCUGGUCAGCCUAAUCUCAGAUAUAACGUUGGUCUUCAUUAAUCUGUACUGGAUUAGUGUGAUCUUCUUUGCCUUGGCCAUGGUUAUGGUCACACUGUUCAUAUUCUUCGAGAAGAUCCGCUUCAUCAUUGGUCUCAACUGGCUGAUCACCGUACUGAUAGUGGAGUUCGUGAUUAUAGGUAUAUUCGCUCUGGUGGCCCGAACUCUUUGGCCAGAUCUUAUAAUGUGGUUUUUCAUCUGCGUGCUACUGGUCUUCCUGUUCGUUCUGCUGGGUUCUAUAAUACCACACGAUCUCACGUUGGACGUUGUAAUCCUGUUUGUAAUGGCCUUUAUUUUUCUGAUCGUCACCAUCUUCUUUGUCAUGAUGCACAUUCUGAUCGCUAUGCCCUAUUCCUUUCUGGUUUUCCAGAUCUUCAUCAGCGUUAUCGUGCUGUUGUUCGUGAUGUACCAUGCCCAGACGAUCAACGGUGGACGCUUCGCCGAGAUGCGACUCAACGAUCACCUGCUGGCCUCCCUCAUCCUCUUCCAUGACUUCAUCAUCAUAUUCCUGCUGACCUUCUAUGCGCAGAUUGUCUACCGGGUCGCAUCGAGGGCAUCGACAACCACGGGGUCUCCACUUUUUGGCACCUGGGCUGACACGACCCCGAUUAUUGAGAAUAUCGAUGAAGAAUUCGCGACAGAAGAAGACAGCGAAGUUGACGGUGAACCUUCUCCCGAACUAUCACCCGACGAAGAAAGCGUUGUGUUCUUCUAAUGGAUGUGUCUUACAUCUCUGGGCAUUUACUAAUGGUGAGACUAAUUGCCCGUCGACUUAAAAACUGUGUCCAUUGCCAGGCCAAGGAUAAUUUCAGGAUUCAAGGACCUGUCGUCCGAAAGCUCUUUAAAUAUGGAUAAACCCAGCUAGAUAUUUUAGUUAUCCCCCGCAAUAAAACAAAUUCACUUCAAGUUUAACUGGAAC